AUACAACUGAUGAGUCCCAAAUAGGACGAAACGUGCGUCAUGGAU
rnacentral:hammerhead_ribozyme from 1 species